rnacentral:rRNA from 1 species
UACGUAGGGUGCGAGUGUUGUUCGGAAUUAUUGGGCGUAAAGCGCGUGUAGGCGGCUUUGCAAGUCGGGUGUGAAAGCCCUCAGCUCAACUGAGGAAGUGCGCCCGAAACUGCAGAGCUUGAGAACCGGAGAGGAUGGCGGAAUUCCCCAAGUAGAGGUGAAAUUCGUAGAUAUGGGGAGGAACACCGGUGGCGAAGGCGGCCAUCUGGACGGAUUCUGACGCUGAGACGCGAAAGCGUGGGUAGCAAACAGG